CACAAAAUAUACACAAAUCUUGACUAAAUUACAAUCGAGUGUGUAUCCAGGCUAAUAACAGUUCCCCGGUUGCGCUGUUUAAAAAGCAUACACUCGGUAUUUAUAUCAUUUAGUGAAAGUAAGUUGGAAAAAUGGAGUUUCGAGCGAACAAACGCAUUAAACUAAGUAGCCAAAAGGGUCCAAGUCCCCUUGAUCUCGCAAGAACGUACUGCCAGAAUUACGUUGAUCCACCAGGUUUUGAAGUAAAAACCGUCAAUGAUGUCAUAGGCGAAGGAGUCUUCGCCACUAAGCCUUUUAAAAAACGGAGACUCUCUUCUCGAAUACAAAGGGGAUCUGAUAACACGAGCAAAACGGCAAUUAGAAAAGGAGUAUGAAAAGGAGGGUCAUGACAGCUUCAUUUACUUUUUUAAAUACAGAGACAAAUCUUGAUGCAUUGACGCUACCAACGAUAUAUUUCAUGAGGGUCAAAUGAUAAAUGAUGCCGAAAAUGGAGACGCAAAACAAAUUUGUGUAAUGAAAAUAGUUGAAGUCAACCAAACUCCCCACCUAUGCACUUUCGCCGACAGAGACAUUGCAAUUGGCGAGGAACUCCGAUAUGAUUAUGGAGUACCAACACUUCCAUGGAGAAAGGCAACACAAUGGCUACUAGAUCUACGGACAGCCAGGAACCAGGACAAACAACAUCCAUACACAC